AGCGCACAGACGUUUGAAGAGUGGCCCCCGUGUGCCUGCCGUGGUUGCAUGAUGGCAUUUGAGCCUCACAACCUAAUCCUGAUAGAGAGAUGAUUUCUUAAAUGACCAGAAGAUACUGCAAGUUCAAAGUCCUGGAGGCCAGAAGGAGCUUGUAUUCAAGAAACAGAAAAGGAAAUAUAAGAAAACAUAUUUUCUCAAGGAAA